rnacentral:rRNA from 1 species
AACCUCCGCAAUGUGAGAAAUCGCGACGGGGGGAUUCCAAGUGCCAUUCUUAACGGGAUGGCUUUUCAUUAGUGUAAAGAGCUUUUGGAAUAAGAGCUGGGCAAGACCGGUGCCAGCCGCCGCGGUAACACCGGCAGCUCUAGUGGUAACAAUUUUUAUUGGGCCUAAAGCGUCCGUAGCCGGUUUAAUAAGUCUCUGGUGAAAUCCUGUAGCUUAACUGUGGGAAUUGCUGGAGAUACUAUUAGACUUGAGACCGGGAGAGGUUAGAGGUACUCCCAGGGUAGAGGUGAAAUUCUGUAAUCCUGGGAGGACCGCCUGUUGCGAAGGCGUCUAACUGGAACGGUUCUGACGGUGAGGGACGAAAGUUAGGGGCGCGAACCGGAUUAGAUACCCGGGUAGUCCUAACUGUAAACGAUGCGGACUUGGUGUUGGGGUGGCUUUGAGCUGCUCCAGUGCCGAAGGGAAGCUGUUAAGUCCGCCGCCUGGGAAGUACGGUCGCAAGACUGAAACUUAAAGGAAUU